AUCAGUAUGAUGGCGCAGCUCGCCGUUCGGGCAGUUCCAAAGCGCGGUGAGCGGGUUGAUAACACAGUUGACGGCCAGUUUGCGCCACAU
rnacentral:sRNA from 1 species